AAACAAAUAAAAUGAUUCCAGACUAUUCAGCAAAAUGACAUAAACAAAGUGUCCUGCAAUUUCAAUUGGGGAAUACCACUCGGUUGGUCUUAACAGUACCUUUUCAUAUCUUGCAAGGGCAGAGAUCACCUUUCUUUCUCUUUCCUUGCACUUCGGCUCCUAUAAACAAAGUGUCCUGCAACUUUGCUGCUAUCUUGUCCGCAAGAUCUUUCAAUGAAAGCAUGCCAGAAAAACCAAUGGGCUGUGAAUACAAAAACAUAGAAUCUUGUGGAUAAAAGGAGUAAAGGGCAAACAAGCAUUUCGACACGCACACAAAGCCAAUAAUUGGAUUUACAACAAAAAAUAAGCACGCAUGCCACUUUUUUAUUUUCUCUUACAGGCAAUUCAGAUCUUAUCCAACAAAAAAAAAAUAUGUUUCAAAUUUAUUUUAUAGCAUCGGUGCAUUGGAAAGUCUCAAUCAGCUACUUUGAAAGGAAGAGACAGGCUUCUAAUUGACAGCAACAAUUUGAUCCACUUUCUUUUGGAAAGGUUUUGAAGUUUGAACCAAGCUAUGUUCAUGGUUGAGAGCGAUCUACUCAGAUUUCUCUUACUCUGCAUCAGAUUUAUGGCUAUCAUAUUAAGGUCUUGUGCAUUGGACGAAUGGGAAAAGCAAUCGAGCUCCAUUGUUAUUUAUGGAACCCCCCUGAUGAUCAAACACUAAAAUGGAAUGUUGAUGGUUCUUCCAAGGGAAAACCAGGGCCUGCAGGUAUUGGUGGUGUGUUAAGGGAUCAUCUAGGGAUUGUUAAGAGGUAUCUUCUUUUGUUCAGUGGGUAACAAGGACUCGAAUGAAGCUGAGCUACUGGCAGUCGUCAAAGCAAUGGAACUGUCUUCAUCAAACAAGGAUUUUGUGGGGCUCAAUUUCUUGGUAGAAUCAGACUCUGCUUCUGUGGUUAGUUGGUUGAACAAUCCCCGCUCCAGACCUUGGAAGUUUCAUGAGUUUGUUGCUCUGGUUUCCAGGUCUUCUUCAGGUCUGGGCAAUGUCUCCUUCUGCCACACCCUCCGGGAAGCUAACUCCAUGGCUGACCUUGGAAGUUUCUGCUCAUUAAUAUUGUUGCAGGUUGUAUUGCUUCUAUGGCUGUUGCUGCUCUGGCUAUGUAAGCUACCUUUUGGACUCUCAGCCUCCUUCGGCCACUACGUAUUGCUUAUCAAAAAACAUAAUCAAAACGGAUUUUAACAAUGGAUCAUGCUAAUAUUCCUCAA